CUUACAAAUCGAUUUUCACUACGCCAUGCCGUUAGAAGUGAAGCUACGUAUCGCCAUGAACGAGAACGCAAGGGGGGGGGGGGGAAAUAGAAUGCAUAAGAAUCCAUAAGAAAACCAAAAGAUGAAGUAUGUGAUGUCUUUCCUCCAGAAUAUCAAGCAAGAGAUCAUCAUCCGCGGUUAUUCAGUUUAUCGAUAGUGAAGAAAGCCGCAAACAACUUAACCAAGAGAUCUUCCAGAAACAAAACAUGCAUGAGAGAGAAGGCACAGACUUUGUCAUAAAACAAUUUGAUGGAACGCAAAAAGCCACAGAUUGGAGUAUGAAAUAUUCAUAUUUCACAUAAGCAUCCCUUCCAUACUCUAAUAUGAGUAUGAAACCGAAUACGAAAAAUACAAAAUCCAAACUGAUGAAAAAAGGAUCAAGAAUUUGAAGAAAUAUUUGGAAAAAAUAGCAUCAGAAUGGUACCAAGCAAAUCUGCUGAAGGAUGAAGAAUACAACUGGGAAAAUUGGAAGGUGGCAGUUCAAAAAGCUUGUGGCAAUAAAGGUUGGUCUGCAGUACGAUACACUUAUAACUUUAAAUACAUUUCAGGUUCAUUCACUGAAUAUGUCAUAAAAAAGGAAUGAUUAAUAUUGGAAGUAAGGAGGAAGACUUCUGAAGAGACAGGGAUAAAUCUAAUUGUUAUUGGAUUACCCAUACACAUUCAAGAUAAAAUCGAUAAAGAAACAGUACAAUCAACAAAUGGCUUAAUCAGAUUCUUGGGGCAAUAUCAGACAAAGGGAAGAAAAACACAAGGGAGUAACACAAGAUUGGACAGAAAGCCAGAGCCACUGCCCAAGAAACAACCUUGUGUGAUUUAUGAAGCACUGAAUUUCCCAGGUCGAUUUCACCCAAUAACAACUCACCAAAGAAAUACAUGCACAUACUCAUGGAUCAUUUUUCAAGGGCUGUUUCUAUGUCCACAUUGAAAACACAACACACAGAAGAUAUCAUAAAACUUAUAGACUCAACAGGAGAAACUGAUUCCAUACAAAUUAUCCUUGCAAACCGAUACCCAGUAAUGACAUCCAAAGAAAUUCAAGA